rnacentral:misc_RNA from 1 species
GCUCCAAGUGAUGAGAAUCCAUUCGUAUUCUGAUUCUUGUGAACCAUGUGGUUUGGGCAUCUGAUUGAAACUAAAAGACUUUGUUGGGGCCUCUACAGAGUUGAAGAAAAUGGGGACUAUAUUGUAGUUUCCAUUUUGAAGUUUCAGAAAAUAUUGUCAUUUAUAUAAGAGGACUAUUAGUAAUGGGGUGUAUCGAUGCUUGUGGAUUUCUG